rnacentral:rRNA from 1 species
UGGGGAAUAUUGCACAAUGGGCGCAAGCCUGAUGCAGCCAUGCCGCGUGUGUGAAGAAGGCCUUCGGGUUGUAAAGCACUUUCAGCGGGGAGGAAGGCGGUGAGGUUAAUAACCUCAUCGAUUGACGUUACCCGCAGAAGAAGCACCGGCUAACUCCGUGCCAGCAGCCGCGGUAAUACGGAGGGUGCAAGCGUUUAUCGGAAUUACUGGGCGUAAAGCGCACGCAGGCGGUUGAUUGAGUCAGAUGUGAAAUCCCCGGGCUUAACCCGGGAAUUGCAUCUGAUACUGGUCAGCUAGAGUCUUGUAGAGGGGGGUAGAAUUCCAUGUGUAGCGGUGAAAUGCGUAGAGAUGUGGAGGAAUACCGGUGGCGAAGGCGGCCCCCUGGACAAAGACUGACGCUCAGGUGCGAAAGCGUGGGGAGCAAACAGG